AUUUUAUGCAUAUGUUGAGAUACACCAACUGUGAAGGCUAGUCUUUGACAAUUAUUACCAGUAGUGUCCACUGGCUUCAAAACACACACCCGCCCAAGCCACUUUACUUAUAGCAUAUCUGACACGCAUAGGUGAUGUUCCCAACAAUUGCGUGCAAAGCCCCUGUGAAGUUUCUGCCCAAAUAAAUAUUGUUGUUGUUGUUAUUAUUAUAGUAUAGAGCAAAGUCAUUGCUCCAUGUUCCUGCUACUUCUAAUAACGCGUAGUAGUCCUGUCGUAGUGAACAAUAUUGAACAGCAAUACGGUUGGAUUCGCAUGACAGACUCACACAGCUGUCGGUCUAUAUACCAAUGUUGAUCUUAUGAAAGACAUUAUGUAUAUCAAUUUCGAAAUAAUUAACAUAAACUCUGCCACCUGCUUCUAGAAAAAGUGUAUUUUUAUAUGUUUUUAUUUUUGGUGACGUCAUCGGUAUUUUUAUUUUUAACCAGACCUUCGCAGACUAAUUAUAUGAUGGUAAAGCAACAAAGGGUGUACAUUUCAACAACAAAAAACAAUAAAUAACGCCUUUUCAAAGCAUUGUAACAGUCACUUUCGGCUUAGACAAAUCAAAAGGUCAAGAAAAAGGUCACCAACCCAUCCAUUUUUUGUGAGUUAAAAGCCCUUUCACAUGAUGUAUAAAUUGUCAAAAUAGCUUAUAGUGGUUGAGGAAAUAAUAUGAACUUAUGAAAUGAUGAAGACUAUAGACGAGACAUCUGAAAGCACAUAACUUCGUGUGAAAAGGGUAUUGUUUUUUAUUUUUUAUAUUAAGCUACCUUUGUGGGCAGAUUUAUUUGUUUUCCAUAAACUGUCUGGUAUACUUUAUUGGCUGUACAAUAAAUAUAUCGUGAUGCAUGAAACCUUUACAUGACAACGAUUACCGAAGUGCCACGAUUACCGAUUCAGGCAACAAAGUUUAAUCUUAAUUUUGCUGUUGACCAACAUUGCUUUAAAACUUACCCCAAGAUAUUUUUCCCCCCAAUUGUUUUUAUGCAACAACUCUCCAUUGCUCGUUACUAAGUAAGUUUGUAUAACAGCUAGUUUGAGUAAUCACCAAUAGUGUCCAGUUUCUUUAAAAGGUUCCUUUAAAAAUGGGCGGAUCGUGUGAUAUUUCACAUGGGUUGAAAUGUAAACACUUUUCCCUUUCAAAGCCCCUAAAAUAGUCUACACACUAAAGGUCACGUAGGUUAUUCGAGUAACUCCCAUGCGAUAAAUAUUAAGUCACAUGCACCAUUGAGGUAGGCACACAGCACGAAAGUUACAAUGACAAAAGUGUUUUCGUAAAUAAACUAUAGGAACGCCGCACGGCACAUUUUUCCUCGUUUUUUCCCCCAUGGAGGCCCAAAUGGGGGAAAUGCACAAAGCGUCACAUUUAUUAUUAUAUCGAAUGAGAAAUAAAUGUUCCAGACUAAAAUGGAAAAUGAUAA